rnacentral:rRNA from 1 species
CGCGUAGGCGGCUUUAUAAGUCUGGAGUGAAAGUCCUCUUUUCAAGGGAGGAAUUGCUUUGGAAACUAUAGAGCUUGAGUGCAGGAGAGGUUAUCGGAAUUCCCGGUGUAGCGGUGAAAUGCGUAGAUAUCGGGAGGAACAUCGGUGGCGAAGGCGGGAUAACUGGACUGCAACUGACGCUGAGGCGCGAAAGUGUGGGGAGCAAACA